GUCAUCAGCAUCCUGGGGGGUGUCGUAGCUGCUGGACUCAUCAUCGGUGUUGCUGUCACUGUGUUCAUGGUCUACCGGCGUCAACAGAAGACACGCACAGAGACAGAUAAUGACCUGACAGACCUCCCGCCGGCUCACAAACCAGCCCCACCUCCACCGCAGAAGAAGACCAGCGACUCAAAGACCCACCUGACAUCUGAUGACAUACAGGUGGUCCACCUGGACAAGGAGGAUGAGAUGCAGAAACUGCCACUCCAACCCCCUUACUACGACAUGGCUCCAUCUGAGGCGAACCACAGGAAGCGUCACAAAGAGCUAUCAAACCCGGCUGACUCUGUGAACAGUCAUCGGUCCCGACCCUGGGAGGUUCAUCUGGAGCCUCGGCCUCCGCCGGCCCACCCCCCACUGGCCGUCUCGCCCCUCGGUCCUUGCGCACAGCCCCCCUCCAGCAGCCCCACAUUACGGCCACCCGCCGCGAGCCUGCGGGUCCUCUACAGCUUCCCUCAGGACCAGCGCAUCUAGCGUCGAGCAUCCUCCGCGGUCGUGGCACGACACCCGGCUCUCUCCACACUUCUCCUUGACCACUCUUCACGUCAGCCUUGUCUUCCACUAGCUUUAGCUGUUCGAAUUUUUCAUUUGCCAAGUUUCCUUGUCCUCAUGUACAAGACACACC
rnacentral:lncRNA from 1 species